rnacentral:rRNA from 1 species
CAGCCGCCGCGGUAAUACAUAGGUGGCAAGCGUUGUCCGGAAUUAUUGGGCGUAAAGCGCGCGCAGGUGGUUUAAUAAGUCUGAUGUGAAAGCCCACGGCUCAACCGUGGAGGGUCAUUGGAAACUGUUAAACUUGAGUGCAGGAGAGAAAAGUGGAAUUCCUAGUGUAGCGGUGAAAUGCGUAGAUAUAUGGAGGAACACCAGUGGCGAAGGCGACUCUCUGGUCUGUAACUGACGCUGAGGCUCGAAAGCGUGGGUAGCAAACAGGAUUAGAUACCCCAGUAGUCCCUGUCUCUUAUAA